UACAGAGGGUGCAAGCGUUGUUCGGAAUUAUUGGGCGUAAAGCGCGUGUAGGCGGCUUUGCAAGUCGGGUGUGAAAGCCCUCAGCUCAACUGAGGAAGUGCGCCCGAAACUGCAGAGCUUGAGUGCCGGAGAGGGUGGCGGAAUUCCCCAAGUAGAGGUGAAAUUCGUAGAUAUCUGGAGGAACACCGGUGGCGAAGGCGGCAUCCUGGACCGGCAUUGACGCUGAGGCGCGAAAGCUAGGGGAGCAAACGGG
rnacentral:rRNA from 1 species